rnacentral:rRNA from 1 species
UGCUCCUGGAUUCAGCGGCGGACGGGUGAGUAAUGCCUAGGAAUCUGCCUGGUAGUGGGGGAUAACGUCCGGAAACGGGCGCUAAUACCGCAUACGUCCUGAGGGAGAAAGUGGGGGAUCUUCGGACCUCACGCUAUCAGAUGAGCCUAGGUCGGAUUAGCUAGUUGGUGGGGUAAAGGCCUACCAAGGCGACGAUCCGUAACUGGUCUGAGAGGAUGAUCAGUCACACUGGAACUGAGACACGGUCCAGACUCCUACGGGAGGCAGCAGUGGGGAAUAUUGGACAAUGGGCGAAAGCCUGAUCCAGCCAUGCCGCGUGUGUGAAGAAGGUCUUCGGAUUGUAAAGCACUUUAAGUUGGGAGGAAGGGCAGUAAGUUAAUACCUUGCUGUUUUGACGUUACCAACAGAAUAAGCACCGGCUAACUUCGUGCCAGCAGCCGCGGUAAUACGAAGGGUGCAAGCGUUAAUCGGAAUUACUGGGCGUAAAGCGCGCGUAGGUGGUUCAGCAAGUUGGAUGUGAAAUCCCCGGGCUCAACCUGGGAACUGCAUCCAAAACUACUGAGCUAGAGUACGGUAGAGGGUGGUGGAAUUUCCUGUGUAGCGGUGAAAUGCGUAGAUAUAGGAAGGAACACCAGUGGCGAAGGCGACCACCUGGACUGAUACUGACACUGAGGUGCGAAAGCGUGGGGAGCAACAGGAUUAGAUACCCUGGUAGUCCACGCCGUAAACGAUGUCGACUAGCCGUUGGGAUCCUUGAGAUCUUAGUGGCGCAGCUAACGCGAUAAGUCGACCGCCUGGGGAGUACGGCCGCAAGGUUAAAACUCAAAUGAAUUGACGGGGGCCCGCACAAGCGGUGGAGCAUGUGGUUUAAUUCGAAGC